GACGAACGCUGGCGGCGUGCUUAACACAUGCAAGUCGAACGGAAAGGCCCUGCUUUUGUGGGGUGCUCGAGUGGCGAACGGGUGAGUAACACGUGAGUAACCUGCCCUUGACUUUGGGAUAACUUCAGGAAACUGGGGCUAAUACCGGAUAGGAGCUCCUGCUGCAUGGUGGGGGUUGGAAAGUUUCGGCGGAUGGGGAUGGACUCGCGGCUUAUCAGCUUGUUGGUGGGGUAGUGGCUUACCAAGGCUUUGACGGGUAGCCGGCCUGAGAGGGUGACCGGCCACAUUGGGACUGAGAUACGGCCCAGACGCCUACGGGAGGCAGCAGGGGGGAAUAUUGUACAAUGGGCGGAAGCCUGAUGCAGCAACGCCGCGUGCGGGAUGACGUCCUUCGGGUUGUAAACCGCUUUCACCUGUGACGAAGCGGGAGUGACGGUAAUGGGUAAAGAAGCACCGGCUAACUACGUG
rnacentral:rRNA from 1 species